GGCGGCAACAACGGCGGCGCCGCGCCAGCCGCCAUUUCCCGCCUUGAAAUCAGGGAAAAUGCCGGCCCGGAAGCGAAACCCGUGGCCUCCCCGCCUCUUCCUCUCAGCCCCGGGCGCGGCAUGGCGGCGGCGGGGCCGGUGGAUUGCCACUGCCACCUUGCCGCGCCCUGCUUCCAGGCGGACGUGGCGGCGGUGGUGCGGGCGGCGGAGCAGGCAGCCGUGUCGGCGCUGGUGGUGGUGUCGGAGCAGGCGGGGGAGUUCCGGAGCGUCGUGGCGCUGUCGGAGAGGUUCCCAGGGUUUGUUUUGCCGUGCCUGGGAGUUCACCCGGUUCAAGAGGUUUCGCCGGAGGAGCAACGCAGUGUUACUUUGAAGGAUCUGGAUGCUGCAUUGCCGCUUAUAGAACUCUACAAAGAUAAAUUGGUGGGGAUCGGAGAAGUUGGACUAGAUUUCACUCCCAGAUUUGCCAGCACGGAUGAAGAGAAGGAAGGACAAAGACAGGUUUUGAUCAAGCAGAUUGAGUUAGCAAGGAGACUGGAUUUGCCUUUAAAUGUUCAUUCCCGCUCAGCUGGAAGACCAACAAUUAAUCUCUUAAAGGAACAAGGUGCUACAAAGGUGUUGCUCCAUGCAUUUGAUGGGAAGCCAUCCGUAGCGAUGGAAGGGGUAAAAGCUGGAUAUUACUUCUCCAUUCCUCCUUCCAUUAUAAGGAGUGACCAGAAGCAGAAACUUGUGAAACUGUUACCUCUGGAAAGUAUGUGCUUAGAAACUGACUCUCCUGCUCUGGGGCCUGAAAAACAGACUGGAAGUCACUCGGUCAUGGGCCCACUCGUGCAGACUGCACAUCCCUUUCUGAGCCUUUACAAAAACCCAGCUGGACAGACAUUGUCUGUACGUCACGUUGACUGAGCUCUCACCUGUGUGGAUAUGGGCCUGUUGCAAUACUGAGCAAAACUUUGCUGAUUAUCAAACAGCAAUGAACGAGGUGAGUAAUACAUGACACAAUUGUUCUGAGGGCCCAUGGGGAAGCAGAGGCUUUGUCUCCCUAGGGGGAGUUUUACUAGCUCAGAGAAGAAAAUACACAAGUAUUAACUUAGUCCUUGACCACCUCAGGUACAUAAUCACGCAUCAUACCAGCUCGUGGUGAGAGCAUUUGGCUUUAAGAUUUGAGCAUGUCUCUUCUAUAUCAUUUUUCAGAUUAGACUCUUUCCUGUCUUGAUGGCUAGAGCAUCUUACCAGUUGCCCCUUUGGAAGAUGGUUUGUAGUGCCUUACUCUGAAUUCAUCCGAUGUCUGCUUUUUCAGGUGAAGGACUGCAAGCCAAGGGCUUGGGUGUUUUUCCUGUCUUGAGGAUGCAGAUGGAGAAGGUAUCAGCUCCCAGAAAGUUUAAAAAAAAAAAGGGGGAGCAAAAUCUUGUAGUGUGAUACCCAUCUUAAACUUUUGGUUUCCUCUACAUUUUCUUCCUCAAUUUCUUAAAACCAUAUUGUCAAGAGAGGUUUGUUUUGGGGUUUUUUUUUGCUAUCUUUAGCAGAACAGCUGUGGUGUUCUGCUUUUUGCCUAGAGUUAGUGUAUUAAGUUUAAACAUACAUUCCUAAACAGUUUUCAGCCUGCAGCAGUCAAGCAAACUUGAAUAAUUUGUUUACUACAAUGCGUAUUCAGAUCAGCAAACAUCUGAAUCUUUGCUGAAUGUUUCACCCAAAGUAGUUAGAGCCAUUUGUUAUCCUGGAUCUACAGGCUGAAUUUCCACAACACUGGGUGAAGGACAGAGUUUGCCUCAAGAUGGUGCUAGGGAACAGGCUGGGGUUCGAGCUUCUGUUCCCAUUACAGAGCAGGAAAAUGAAUUUGAGAGAGUCACUGGCUUAGCAGAAAGGGCUGUGAUCUGAAGAGCAAACAACUUCUGCAACGGCACUUGGGUCCACAUCUCAUAUCAUCCCAAAGCGACGGUCAACAUCAAAAUAAAUGGAUUUUGUCUGCGAUGCCUGGGUGAGGUAAUAUGCCUGCACAUACUGCCUUCAAAGGUAGGCGAGGCGGCUUGGUGUCCAUGGUCGGUGGCUGCAAACAGACAAGCCCAGCCUGCCACGGCAGAGCACAGGCACCACGGCGUGGCUGAGCAAACCUUCAGCUUCCCAGCACAGGAGCGAGUACAGCCACCUGAAAAACCAUGAAGCAGCACUGAUGUGGGGGGAAGCAGGGCUACAUCCCCCUGUUUUCGAAGUGCAGGGGGUGAAUCAUGGAAGAAUCACAACAGCAGCAGUGUGAUCGAAUGGAUGAUGCCCCAGAGGUAUCACCUGGCAGGCAGCUGGGUCAGCGUACGGUCUGUGUCGGGGGCUGGCUGUUAAAGCCUGCCUGCAGAGGUGGGAGAGCUGUCUGUGCUCCCACCCUGCAUAGUCCCUGCUGAUGAAGCCCGCAGUGCUAAACAGCAGCAGAGCUGUGCCCUGUGGUACCGUGACAAGUGUCUUCUCCGCCUGCCACAAGGUCCCUGUGCUGCUGGCAUUUACUGCACCCAGGCCAUGCUUGCUGCCGGGGAGUGACAGCUGAUGUGCCCCUGCCUUCUCCUGCUCCCCAAAGGCAUCCUGACUCCAUCACAGCAUGUUUGGGGGUUCAUCCGAUUCAGAGCGGGGCAGACGGGCAGGGCAGCGCCAUGGUCCGGAUGAGGCGCAUGGCGCCUUCUCACAUGGAUUUUCUAUUUCUGUGACAGGGGGCGGACACUGAGUUUAACUUCUUUAAUAUGUGCAUAUUCAGAUUUUGUGUCUGUUAUUUCGGCUGUGCCCGGGCUGUAUGUUCUGUCACCAAAGAGUGCAAACAGACGCUUGAGUCCUUGCCGGUGCCCAGCUGCAGUAUAGAUAAAGUACAAGUGUCCCCCACUGACAGAAGACAAGUUAUCUCACAAGCAGCCACAACCAAUAAAGCUUUUCCCCCCCCCCAGGGAUUUGUGACCUCCUCACCACAGCAAUCCCAGUCUCCUUCUUGUGUACUGUGAUGCUCCCAUUACAGCCCAGCGCUCCCAGUGAUGCGUUUCCAGUUCCCUGUAUGUCUCCCUGAUCCCUACCAUGGUACCACCAGCUCCUCUGCGUACCCUCUGGGCUCUGCCUGCCACAGUACCUCGGCUUUCUUCUGCGUCCCUGUGGCCUCCCUGCAAUUUCUCAGCUCUCUUCCUCUCUUCCUGCCUGCGCUUGUUGGAUUGCCAUUUGGGCAAGAAAUGGCACGUGCUGAAAUUAGUCCAGAGCUGGGCAGGUAUAGCUGUCGGCGUCAGACUCAGCAGCUGGGUGUGUGCCUCCUCUCGGUAGCCCUGAGGGGGAUUGGAGAAGGUUGGUGUCAUCUACAUUGCCAACGACUCUCACAAACCUUGUAGGAACUUUGUACCUCCAAGAGCUCUGUCCAUCUGCCAAAUUUUGUUGACCGUUGUCAAAAAUGGUGAGUUGUGAGUGUGGGCCAGGUGACAGCAUGACUAUGUUAACUGAUUUCCGUGGGAAUGCGUAUAUGUCAGAUGCUGCGUCCCCCAGGUGGAAUUGGACCUGUUUCUUGGGACCUCCUAGGUCUGCUCAGCACAUGACCACUGGUGAACCCGUGAAAUGGAAAGGACCUGGAAUUAUCUAGCAGGAAGGUCUGUCUUUGUGAAGUGCACUGCCUGGAGAGGGCAACUUUGAAGUCCCGAUUGGCACUGGCUUAUUGCUAUAAAUAUAUAGAAAGAGCAUUUUUGUGCUCAAGACAUUUUUGGACACACAACAAAGGGGGAGGAAGCGAACAAAUGGAGCGAGCGCUGUGGGAAGAAGUUAAAUGGAGCACUAUGUGGGGAGCUGCAAUCAAAGCAUCACUAGGUAACUUCCUUUCUCUUUAGGGGUCAUUAUUCCUGCCUGGGAAAGUCAGGGUGGACCUCAUCUCUGUACUACACAAGACCUCUGUGCUGAGUUGAGGCAACGGCAAGCGCACAUGCAGCAGGCUAAUGUGGUACAUAACAUGCACGAGCAGAUGUCAGCACUCUCCAGAAUCAUCCCUUCUGCACUUCCAUUGAGUGCAGCACAUCCGUGGCCAAUCUGUAGCUGUGUGUGUGCGUGACCAUUUAUCCAAAGAGAUUGUUUCCUGAUCGGCACCUGGAGGCUGCUGUGGUUUCAGGAUGCUCAGAGCUUCCUCUUGGAGUCCUUAGGAUGCCCUUUUUUUGGAGAGGUGCAGCUACACACAGUCUUGCUUCCUCC